UCUCUUCAAAGAAUCAGUAUGUCAAUAUGUUCAAUUCUUUGCCUUCUACUUUUAAACUUAACUUCCUCGUAAAGCAACCUUUUCUGAUUACCUGCUCCACCCUGACUCAUUCCGAUUUCCUGCUCUGCCAUAAUCAUUUUUCCCCCCAAACCACUCACCCCUGUCACUCUCUUUAAAUUAGCCAAUCGGAAUUAGUUUAGCCCGUGCAGUCUAACCCUAGCCAAUAGGGAAACAACACAGCAGCAGGGGCCACGUGCGUCAGGGAUAAGAACCCCUUCGCCUCCCCUGUCCAUGUGUGCGCUCACCAUUGCUCCAUCUGUAAGAGCGCAUCCUUCUAUAGAAGUACAUUGCCUUGCGGAUUUCCAGCCAUUUAACACAGUCUCCAAAUGCUGAGGUCUUUUCCUGGAAAAGAAACCUGCUCUGUUCUGCCUAAAAUGCUCUUAAAUGGUUUCAAAGUUGCUCAGUGUUUUGCUAAUGUUUUAGGGAACUAUGGAAAAGCUUGGGCACCGCAGAGAGAAAUCAUGCUAACAGGGGCCUGGGGCAGCGUGGGGAACCGGCCCCGCUCAAACAGGCAUUGCUAUCAGCAAUUCUUCUGCAGUGAGGCAGUGCUGGAAUAGGUUCCCAGCGCCCCCGUGUUCCACAGGGACAGGCUGGCAAAAGGGGCUGUGUCGGUGGUGACAAGGGCAGCUGAGGACACGAGGUCAUGAC
rnacentral:lncRNA from 1 species